rnacentral:tRNA from 2 species
UGCCCCCUCGUUCAAUGGUAGGACAGCAGAUUCUGGAUCUGCUUAUCGGGGUUCGAAUCCCUGGGGGGCAACCA